rnacentral:lncRNA from 1 species
AGUACAUUCUAAGUAGCCAAAUGCAAGUUCCAGGGUCAGUUCAUUUAGUAUAAAUCUCAUGUAUGACUGUGUCAAAUAAGGAUUUAAAAAUGUUAGCCCUAUGCCUUUGGCAUUUUUAAUAUGAGGAUAUAAUUCGGUAAUAAGAGUCUGUGAAGAAUAUGAAGAAUGAUACAAGAAUAAUGAAUUAGCACAGAAAACGUUGACCUUGAAAUGUCACCAUUUAAAAGAAUUACCUCUUAAAUACUUUUGAAAGAAAUAUUACCAACUGAGAAAACAUAAUUCUUUACCAUGGAAUCUUCAUAAUCAUAGAACAGCUUUUCAUUAGGAAAAGAUUUGGCCAAGAUGCCUCUAAAGGAAGAGGAGUCAGGGGAUGUGAGGGUAAGAACAAGAAUAUUGCCAUUACUCUGAAACAAGGAUGAAGAUCUAGCAAGGACUAAAAUGUAAAUAUUAAAUCAUGAUUUCUCUGUAGGGGGAAG